UGCGCAGGUGGGCUUGUAAGUCAGUGGUGAAAUACUGCCGCUUAACGGUAGAACUGCCAUUGAUACUGCAAGUCUUGAAUAUGGUUGAGGUAGGCGGAAUGUGUUGUGUAGCGGUGAAAUGCAUAGAUAUGACACAGAACGCUGAUUGCGAAGGCAGCUUACUAAGCCAUUAUUGACGCUGAGGCACGAAAGCGUGGGGAGCGAACAGGAUUAGAUACCCUGGUAGUC
rnacentral:rRNA from 1 species